rnacentral:miRNA from 14 species
ACUGUUGCCUAUGUGCAAACUCU